CCUACGGGUUGCAGCAGUGGGGAAUAUUGCACAAUGGGCGCAAGCCUGAUGCAGCCAUGCCGCGUGUGUGAAGAAGGCCUUCGGGUUGUAAAGCACUUUCAGCGGGGAGGAAGGCGGUGAGGUUAAUAACCUCAUCGAUUGACGUUACCCGCAGAAGAAGCACCGGCUAACUCCGUGCCAGCAGCCGCGGUAAUACGGAGGGUGCAAGCGUUAAUCGGAAUUACUGGGCGUAAAGCGCACGCAGGCGGUUUGUUAAGUCAGAUGUGAAAUCCCCGGGCUCAACCUGGGAACUGCAUCUGAUACUGGCAAGCUUGAGUCUCGUAGAGGGGGGUAGAAUUCCAGGUGUAGCGGUGAAAUGCGUAGAGAUCUGGAGGAAUACCGGUGGCGAAGGCGGCCCCCUGGACGAAGACUGACGCUCAGGUGCGAAAGCGUGGGGAGCAAACAGGAUUAGAUACCCGUGUAGUC
rnacentral:rRNA from 1 species